rnacentral:rRNA from 1 species
AUUGAACGCUGGCGGCAGGCCUAACACAUGCAAGUCGAACGAGUGGCGGAGGGGUGAGUAAUGUCUGGGAACCUGCCUGAUGGAGGGGGAUACCUACUGGAAACGGUAGCUAAUCCCGCAUACCAUCAGAUGUGCCCAGAUGGGAUUGGCUUGUUGGUGGGGUAACGGCUCACCAAGGCGACGAUCCCUAGCUGGUCUGAGGGGAUGACCAGCAACACGGGAACGUGGACACGGUCCAGACUCCGACGGGAGGCAGGAGUGGGGAAUAUUGCACAAGGGGCGCAAGCCUAAUGCAGCCAUGCGGCGUGUAUGAAGAAGGCCUUCGGGUUGUAAAGUACUUUAAGCGGGGAGGCGUUACCCGCAGAAGAAGCACCGGCUAACUCCGUGCCAGCAGCCGCGGUAAUUC